rnacentral:tRNA from 1 species
GCCGUCGUAGCUCAGCUGGUAGAGCAUCUCCAUGGUAAGGAGAAGGUCCCCGGUUCGAUCCCGGGCGACGGCU